GACGAACGCUGGCGGCGUGCUUAACACAUACAAGUCGAACGAGUGGCGAACGGGUGAGUAACACGUGGGUGACCUGCCCUGCACUUCGGGAUAAGCCUGGGGAACUGGGUCUAAUACCGGUUAGUGUGGGAUGGGCCCGCGGCCUAUCAGCUUGUUGGUGGGGUAAUGGCUACCAAGGCGCGACGGGUAGCCGGCCUGAGAGGGUGGACGGCCACAUGGGGGCUGGGACACGGCCCCGACGCCUACGGGAGGCAGCAGUGGGCAAUAUUGCACAAUGGGCGGAAGCCUGAUGCAGCGACGCCGCGUGUGUGAAGAAGGGGUUCGGAUUGUAAAGCACUUUAAGUUGGGGGGCGUUACCAACAGAAUAAGCACCGGCUAACUUCGUGCCAGCAGCCGCGGUAAUAC
rnacentral:rRNA from 1 species